UGGGGAAUAUUGGACAAUGGGCGAAAGCCUGAUCCAGCCAUGCCGCGUGCAGGAUGAAGGCCCUCUGGGUUGUAAACUGCUUUUCUACGGGAAUAAACCCCUUUACGUGUAAAGGGCUGAAGGUACCGUAGGAAUAAGCACCGGCUAACUCCGUGCCAGCAGCCGCGGUAAUACGGAGGGUGCAAGCGUUAUCCGGAUUUAUUGGGUUUAAAGGGUGCGCAGGCGGAAUUUUAAGUCAGUGGUGAAAUCCCUUCGCUCAACGGAGGAACUGCCAUUGAUACUGAAAUUCUUGAAUUUGGUUGGCGUGGGCGGAAUGUGCCAUGUAGCGGUGAAAUGCUUAGAUAUGGCACAGAACACCGAUCGCGAAGGCAGCUCACGAAACCAAUAUUGACGCUCAGGCACGAAAGCAUGGGGAGCAAACAGGAUUAGAUACCCUGGUAGUCCAUGCUGUAAACGUUGAUCACUCGACAUUGGCGAUAUACUGUCAGUGUCCUAGCGCAAGUGAUAAGUGAUCCACCUGGGGAGUACGCCCGCAAGGGUG
rnacentral:rRNA from 1 species